UAGCCUUUAGCAAAAUAAGUAUUAAAGGUCCUGCCUGCCCAGUGAAAAUAUUUUAACGGCCGCGGUAUUCUAACCGUGCAAAGGUAGCGUAAUCACUUGUCUUCUAAAUAAAGACCAGUAUGAAUGGCUAAAUGAGGACAGACCUGUCUCCUACAAUUAAUCAGUGAAACUGAUCUUCCAGUCAAAAAGCUGGAAUACUGUCAUUAGACGAGAAGACCCUGUGGAGCUUAAAACUUAUCUAGUAACCAACAACUAGCACGAGCUUUAAGUUGGGGCGACUUCGGAACAAAACAAAACUUCCGAGCACAGAACCACCAAUUCUUACCAAGGCAAACAGGCCAAAGCAAACAACUGACCCAGUAACACUGAUCAACGAACCAAGUUACCCCAGGGAUAACAGCGCCAUCCUCUUCAAGAGUCCAUAUCGACAAGAGGGCUUACGACCUCGAUGUUGGAUCAGGGCACCCAAAUGGUGCAACCGCUAUUAAAGGUUCGUUUGUUCAACGAUUAACAGCC
rnacentral:rRNA from 1 species